CGGCAUAGCUCAGUUGGUAGAGCAGCGGUUUUGUAAACCGAAGGUCGUGGGUUCAAGUCCUACUGUCGGC
rnacentral:tRNA from 1 species